rnacentral:rRNA from 1 species
CCUACGGGAGGCAGCAGUAAGGAAUAUUGGUCAAUGGGCGCAAGCCUGAACCAGCCAUGCCGCGUGCAGGAUGACGGCCCUCUGGGUUGUAAACUGCUUUUAUACGGGAAGAACAGCAUCUACGUGUAGGUGUUUGACGGUACUGUAAGAAUAAGGACCGGCUAACUUCGUGCCAGCAGCCGCGGUAAUACGAAGGGUCCAAGCGUUAUCCGGAUUUAUUGGGUUUAAAGGGUGCGUAGGCGGCUUUUUAAGUCAGUGGUGAAAGCCUGAUGCUCAACAUCAGAACUGCCAUUGAUACUGAAGAGCUUGAGUACAGUUGAGGUUGGCGGAAUGUGUCAUGUAGCGGUGAAAUGCUUAGAUAUGACACAGAACACCGAUUGCGAAGGCAGCUAGCUAAGCUGUUACUGACGCUGAUGCACGAAAGCGUGGGGAGCAAACAGGAUUAGAUACCCUGGUAGUCCACGCCCUAAACGUUGAUAACUCGUUGUUAGCGAUAUACUGUUAGCGACCAAGCGAAAGCAUUAAGUUAUCCACCUGGGAAGUACGGUCGCAAGAUUGAAACUCAAAUGAGUAGAGCGNGAGAGNGCGAGGACGACGACGAGGGAGGAGG